AUAUUUCUGAAUUAUACGUGUGCUCUUGUAUUGAACCUACAGUUUAAGCAAGGGAGUUCAAAAUAUUGAUGAUGAUAUGGGCUUAUUGUGAGACCCUUAGAUGGCUUUUAAGAGAUAGAUUUAUCAUUGAGAACACCCACCUAUCGGAGGAUAGGUGUCAAUUAUAGGGUAGCGGUAUUUUGGAUAUAUU
rnacentral:misc_RNA from 1 species